rnacentral:rRNA from 1 species
UACGGAGGGGGCUAGCGUUGUUCGGAAUUACUGGGCGUAAAGCGCACGUAGGCGGCUUUGUAAGUUAGAGGUGAAAGCCCAGGGCUUAACCCUGGAAUUGCCUUUAAGACUGCAUCGCUAGAAUCGUGGAGAGGUGAGUGGAAUUCCGAGUGUAGAGGUGAAAUUCGUAGAUAUUCGGAAGAACACCAGUGGCGAAGGCGACUCACUGGACACGUAUUGACGCUGAGGUGCGAAAG